GCCUGGCGGCCGUAGCGCGGUGGUCCCACCUGACCCCAUGCCGAACUCAGAAGUGAAACGCCGUAGCGCCGAUGGUAGUGUGGGGUCUCCCCAUGCGAGAGUAGGGAACUGCCAGGCA
rnacentral:rRNA from 4 species